UCAAGCGACUAAGUGUAUGUGGUGGAUGCCUUGGCGAUUACAGGCGAUGAAGGACGUCGCAGCCUGCGAAAAGCCGUGGGGAGCUGGCAAGCGAGCACUGAUCCACGGAUGUCCGAAUGAGGGAACUCACCCGCAAGGGUAUCUUGAAGUGAAUACAUAGCUUCAAGAGGCGAACGCAGCGAACUGAAACAUCUAAGUAGCUGCAGGAAAAGAAAUCAACCGAGAUUCUGAAAGUAGCGGCGAGCGAAAUUGGAAGAGCCUGCAAGUGAUAUUGAAUUCGAUACUGGAACGGUCUGGAAAGUCCGGCUACAGAGGGUGACAGCCCCGUACGGGAAAUUGGGUUCAAGGUACUGAGCUUGCGAAAAGUAGAGCGGGACACGUGAAAUCCUGCUCGAAGAUGGGGGGACCAUCCUCCAAGGCUAAAUACUCGUAAUCGACCGAUAGCGAACCAGUACUGUGAAGGAAAGGCGAAAAGAACCCCGGGAGGGGAGUGAAAUAGAUCCUGAAACCGCAUACAUACAAACAGUAGGAGCCCGCAAGGGUGACUGCGUACCUUUUGCAUAAUGGGUCAGCGACUUACGUUCAAUGGCAAGCUUAACCGAGUAGGGGAGGCGCAGCGAAAGCGAGUCCGAACAGGGCGACAUGAGUCGUUGGGCGUAGACCCGAAACCAGAUGAUCUAUCCAUGGCCAGGCUGAAGGUGUGGUAACACACACUGGAGGGCCGAACCGACUAGUGUUGCAAAAUUAGCGGAUGAGCUGUGGAUAGGGGUGAAAGGCUAAACAAAUCUGGAGAUAGCUGGUUCUCCCCGAAAACUAUUGAGGUAGUGCCUCGUGUAUGGCUCCAGGGGGUAGAGCACUGUUAUGGCUAGGGGGACAUGGCGUCUUACCAAACCAUGGCAAACUCCGAAUACUUGGAAGUCUGAGCACGGGAGACAGAGCACCGGGUGCUAACGUCCGGACUCAAAAGGGAAACAACCCAGACCGCCGGCUAAGGUCCCUAAUAUUGACUAAGUGGAAAACGAAGUGGGAAGGCUAAGACAGUCAGGAAGUUGGCUUAGAAGCAGCCAUCCUUCAAAGAAAGCGUAAUAGCUCACUGAUCGAGUCUUCCUGCGCGGAAGAUGUAACGGGGCUAAGUCAAUAACCGAAGCCGCGGAUUCGCAGCAAUGCGAGUGGUAGGGGAGCGUUCUGUAAGCCUGCGAAGGCGGAUCCGUGAGGACCGCUGGAGGUAUCAGAAGUGCGAAUGCUGACAUGAGUAACGUUAAAGCGGGUGAAAAGCCCGCUCGCCGCAAGCCCAAGGUUUCCUGCUCUACGUUCAUCGGAGCAGGGUGAGUCGGCCCCUAAGGUCAGGCUGAGAAGCGUAGCUGAUGGGAAGCUGGUUAAUAUUCCAGCACCGAUUUCAAGUGCGAAGGGGGGACGGAGUCCUGAAGGUCAUCCGGGUGUUGGACAUCCCGGUUUACGAGCGUAGGAGGUUGACAGGCAAAUCCGUCAACGGAUCUCCAAGGCGAAGGAUCGAGGUUGAGAGAUCAACUGAAGUGACUGAAUGGGCUUCCAGGAAAAGCCUCUAAGCAUCAGCUUGGAAUUGACCGUACCGCAAACCGACACUGGUGGGCGAGCUGAAUAUGCUCAGGCGCUUGAGAGAACUCAGGAGAAGGAACUCGGCAAAUUGACACCGUAACUUCGGGAUAAGGUGUGCCUUUGUAGUGUGAAGGGAGAAACACCCCGAGCAUGAAGAGGCCUCAGAGAAUCGGUGGCUGCAACUGUUUACUAAAAACACAGCACUCUGCAAAGAUGAAAGUCGACGUAUAGGGUGUGAUGCCUGCCCGGUGCUGGAAGAUUAAUUGAUGGGGUGCAAGCUCCUGAUCGAAGUCCCAGUAAACGGCGGCCGUAACUAUAACGGUCCUAAGGUAGCGAAAUUCCUUGUC
rnacentral:rRNA from 1 species